rnacentral:rRNA from 1 species
ACGCACGCUGGCGGCCUGCCUCACCCAUGCAAGUCGCACGAGACCUUCGGGUCUAGUGGCGCACGGGUGCGUAACGCGUGGGAACCUGCCCUUAGGUUCGGAAUAACUCCCCGAAAGGGGUGCUAAUACCGGAUAAUGUCUUCGGACCAAAGAUUUAUCGCCUUUGGAUGGGCCCGCGUUGGAUUAGCUAGUUGGUAGGGUAAAAGCCUACCAAGGCGACGAUCCAUAGCUGGUCUGAGAGGAUGAUCAGCCACACUGGGACUGAGACACGGCCCAGACUCCUACGGGAGGCAGCAGUGGGGAAUAUUGGACAAUGGGCGAAAGCCUGAUCCAGCAAUGCCGCGUGAGUGAUGAAGGCCUUAGGGUUGUAAAGCUCUUUUACCCGGGAUGAUAAUGACAGUACCGGGAGAAUAAGCUCCGGCUAACUCCGUG